CCUACGGGGGGCAGCAGUGAGGAAUAUUGGUCAAUGGCCGAGAGGCUGAACCAGCCAAGCCGCGUGAGGGAAGAAGGCCCUAAGGGUUGUAAACCUCUUUUGUCGGGGAACAAAGCGAGCCACGUGUGGUUCAUUGAGAGUACCCGAAGAAAAAGCAUCGGCUAACUCCGUGCCAGCAGCCGCGGUAAUACGGAGGAUGCGAGCGUUAUCCGGAUUUAUUGGGUUUAAAGGGUGCGCAGGCGGAGGUGCAAGUCAGCGGUCAAAGCGCGGGGCUCAACCCCGUAGUGCCGUUGAAACUGCAUGCCUUGAGUGCGCGAGAAGUAUGCGGAAUGCGUGGUGUAGCGGUGAAAUGCAUAGAUAUCACGCAGAACUCCGAUUGCGAAGGCAGCAUACCGGCGCGCAACUGACGCUGAGGCACGAAAGCGUGGGUAUCGAACAGGAUUAGAUACCCGUGUAGUC
rnacentral:rRNA from 1 species